rfam:Phlebotomus papatasi Contig960.2, whole genome shotgun sequence.
GUCCCCAUAGCUCAGUUGGUAGAGCAUUCGCCUAGCUAGCGAAAGGCCCAAAGUUCAAGUCUGGGUGGAGGCA